rnacentral:rRNA from 1 species
AUUGAACGCUGGCGGCAGGCCUAACACAUGCAAGUCGAACGAGUGGCGGACGGGUGAGUAAUGUCUCGGAAACUGCCUGAUGGAGGGGGAUAACUACUGGAAACGGUAGCUAAUACCGCAUACCCUCGGAGGUGUCCAGAUUGGAUGAGCUAGUAGGUGGGGUAAAGGCGAACCUAGGCGACGAUCCCUAGCUGGUCUGAGCGGAUGGCCAGCCAGACUGGAGCUGAGACGCGGUCCAGACUCCUACGGGAGGCAGCAGUGGGGAAUAUUGCACAAUGGGCGCAAGCCUGCUGCAGCCAUGCCGCGUGUAUGAAGAAGGCCUUCGGGUUGUAAAGUACUUUCAGCGGGGAGGCGUUACCCGCAGAAGAAGCACCGGCUAACUCCGUGCCAGCAGCCGCGGUAAUUC